GGCCACCAUCACACAUCAGGAACCUGAGGACGGCCAGACAGAUGUUUACAGCCGAGCAGGCGGGAGAGACACUUGCGUGUUGAGACCAACACAGAGACACAUUCUGGUGUGCUACCGACAUCUUCGUGGAGGAGGUGCGCCGUGGUUACCUGAGCGUGGAGCGAGGAGGGGUAAGUAAAAGCCGGUGCGAGGGCCGGCGACAGCUCAGCCGGGUACAGCGGGUACGACGCCCACACGUCUGGGCUGCCGGGAUAGAGAGCGGGUACUGUGAGCUCAUCUGUGGAAAGAAGAAGAAAAGCAGGCGUGGAGUGAGGCCGUUGCACGGCUGUAAACAUCACACAGGUGUAAAAAAACAUUUUGCAUCGCAUUAUUUUCUGAAGACAAAACCAUCUGAACUAUAUGUAGUAAAAAAAAAAAAAAAAGAGAGAAAAAAAAAAAGUCUAAAAUUAGCUCCACUAUCACUGCUUGUUUGUUUGAUUGACAAGCAGCCUCUUGGCUUCCAAGUGAUUAUACUGCGAGGCGGUCCGAUUACUGCGAGGAGUCCAUAAAAAGAGCUGCUGAGUGAAAGAGCGAGGUGACGGCGCGCAACGGAAAUCAAGGAAGCGAGCGCUUCUAUUGCCAAGCGAGCACAUGGAGAAAAAAACAACACUUUAUCACAAAAUGGUGGCCGUUUCUUCACUGAUGUCGUUGUGUCAGUAAUGGCUUCCUUAUUUGCCCCCCUCCCACACACACACACACACACACACACACACACACACACGUUCUCUGGCACCACAUUUUUCAGAUAAGAACAUUUGUUUGCUCAUCGGACAAGAAUGCAGCAAAGAGCGAUUGCCGCAUGGCUGCGGAAUCCAGGAAGCUUCUGGAGAAAAGUUGAACUUUUGUACUACAAACACACCUGCUCAGCUGCAACUCAAAUACAGCAGACGAUUCAAAUGUUUUGGGGAAAAAAUAUUCAAAAUUAAAACUGCAUGAAUCACAUAAAGUAAAAAGUCACGGCCACUAUGACUUUGCCUUUUUUUUUCUUUCUUGAUUUUUUUUUUUAAUCACUUUUAUAUGAUCCUAUUUACAAUUAUUUCCACACUCCGUGACUGGACAGUUAAUAAAGUUUUUACGACAGCGA